rnacentral:rRNA from 1 species
UGGGGAAUAUUGGACAAUGGGCGCAAGCCUGAUCCAGCCAUGCCGCGUGAGUGAUGAAGGCCUUAGGGUUGUAAAGCUCUUUCGCCGACGAAGAUAAUGACGGUAGUCGGAGAAGAAGCCCCGGCUAACUUCGUGCCAGCAGCCGCGGUAAUACGAAGGGGGCUAGCGUUGUUCGGAAUCACUGGGCGUAAAGCGCACGUAGGCGGAUUGUUAAGUCAGGGGUGAAAGCCUGGAGCUCAACUCCAGAACUGCCCUUGAUACUGGCAAUCUCGAGUCCGGAAGAGGUAAGUGGAACUGCGAGUGUAGAGGUGAAAUUCGUAGAUAUUCGCAAGAACACCAGUGGCGAAGGCGGCUUACUGGUCCGGUACUGACGCUGAGGUGCGAAAAGCGUGGGGAGCAAACAGGAUUAGAUACCCUGGUAGUCCACGCCGUAAACGAUGGAGGCUAGCCGUUGGCGAGCAUGCUCGUCAGUGGCGCAGCUAACGCAUUAAGCCUCCCGCCUGGGGAGUACGGUCGCAAGAUUAAAACUCAAAUGAAUUGACGGGGUCAUAGCUGUUUCCU